UACGUAGGCAGCAAGCGUUGUUCGGAGUUACUGGGCGUAAAGGGUGCGUAGGUGGCUCUAUAAGUAUGGUGUGAAAUCUCCCGGCUUAACUGGGAGGGUGCGCCGUAGACUGUGGGGCUAGAGUGUGGGAGAGGAAAGUGGAAUUCCUGGUGUAGGCGGUGAAAUGCGUAGAUAUCAGGAGGAACACCGGUGGUGUAAACGGCUUUCUGGACCAUAACUGACACUGAGGCACGAAAGCGUGGGUAGCAAACAGG
rnacentral:rRNA from 1 species